UCCAAUGCCUGUCUAAAUCCCAGCUGGCUUUUCUGCAGAAAUUGAUGAGCUGAUCCUAAAAUUUAUAUGGAAAUGCAAAAGACAGAGUAACCAAAGCCAUCCUGAAAAAGAACAGGAUUGAAAGACUUAUGCUAAUUUCAAAACUUACUACAAAGAUAAGGUAUCUACCCAAGGGAAAUGAAAACAUAUGUCCAACCAAAAUCUUUUAGGUAAAUGUUCAUAGUAGCACUAUUCUCAAGAACCAACAGAUGGAGACAAACCCAACGCCUACCAACUGGUGAAUGGAGAAAGACAUGUAGUAUACCUAUACAAUAAAAUACUGUUUACAAUAAAAA